CUAUGUAGCCUAUUAAAUUUACAUCAAUUUUACUUCGAAGUUUUUGGAUAAAAUUAGUUAAACGGCCGAGUGACAAAUCGCUGACUUUUAAGCCGAGCCCAACAAUUCGAAACGGACAGAAGGGGCAGACAGGGAAGCCCAGUGUGAAGAGUCUUCAGUUGUAGGGCUCCGCUGCCUUGUCGAAAGCGUCAAACUUGUGACCAGAAACUGGAAGGCAAACAACAAGGAAGGGAUCAUCUAGCGCUUCGCUCCGGGCGUGAAUAAAUGAAGUUUGCAAAUUGCACCACGCCUGACCACCACCGAAACAUUUCUCCCAAAGUCGCUGCAGCUCAGUGCAGUCUGAGUCUCAGUUCGCAGUCCGCAGUCCGCAUUACGAAUGCAAAACUUUGUCCUCAUUACUCGAGAUGUCGAGAUGUUGGGAUGUCGGGAAUGGGAGUGGUAGUGGUGCGACAAGGAGGAAGCUGCCCCUGGGUUAAGGCGUUGCUCUACGGCCCAAGUUAUGGCGUCUGUCAAAGUCGUUGGGCGGGCAAGAAAAACUUGUCGUCAUCGCAUUGUCCGGUGGUCCAAGUUCUCGGCAGCUGCAGAGCCUUCGAAGGACAACGAGAAUCGCCACGAUGACGACAACAUCUGUACUUCCAGCAUCCCGGUCCCAAUCCUCGUCCCCCGGAUCUCGAUUCCCGACUCACGAUUCCCGACUCCCGGCCAAAGUCCAGCAGCUGUCAGCCCGUCUAACAAGUGUCACAGCAAGUUUUUGUUGCCCUCCUCUGGACACCGAACUGGACAUGGACAUGGAUAUAUAUACCAUAUACUCGUACUAUAUUCGUACAUAUUCCGGCCGAGUCCUCGGACUGUGGACUUUUUGUGAAAGAUUAAAAUCUGCAAACAGUUGUCAUCCCAGUUUGAGUUUUGCAAAUAUGCCAAACGGCCCCGGGACUUUCAUGCUGAUUAAAUGAUUUAAGGACGAAGAAGAUUUAAUUUAAAUAUUGUGAGCUAAUCAAGAAAAUGUACAAAAUAAUUACAGUCUUAUGCUCUGGCCAGGACCAAAUCUUAGAUGAUAUUCUUGAGAAUUCUUAGAGCAGCCUUUGAAGACAGAUAAUAGGACCACCUGUGUUGCCGCUAUCGCCCGAUCGAAUCUCUUUAUCCCCAAUGUAGACAUAAAAUUACGAACAGCCUAAGUAUCGUUUAGGGUAACAUUAAUCUAAAUACCCAUAGAAACCCAUGACCGCAUGAAAUUAAAGACAACAAACAAAGCGAUGGGAAAUUGAAGUCCCCGGCAAUUUACAAACUAGUUACUCAUCGAUAGGGACUCGAGAUCAAUCAGCAAGGGAUCGCUCAAAUUUAGCAGAAAGUACACUGCGAAAAAUCCUAGCGGCUGACAGCUGGCAAUUGGGACACGCAAAUUUGUUCGUGCUGUGCCACGUAAACCCGAAACCCUCGUCGGUCAGGAUUUUCUGGAGUAUGGGUAGGGGUGGCACCAGUGCCAGUACCAGUACCAGUAGCAAUGCCAGUAGCGACCCGAGAUCCGAUGCUAAGUCUCAGUAAUUUGAGUCGAUUUUUCCGGCAUGCUGUUCGCUUCGUCUGAAAUCAUCUAGAUGCUCUGGGAUGGGCUGCUUUGCCCGUGGUUCCAUUUUAAUUGCAGUCGCCGGGCUGGGCAAAAAAAGAAGAAAAAGGUCGCCCCGUUCUGCAAUUAGAUCCAAGAACGUAAAACGAAGCCGCAGCCGAAGGAUCGUAAGAGAGAUCGCAAGAUGUGUACCCAGCGAUAUGCUCCUCAUCUCUGGCCCUUACAGCGAUCUCCCUGUAAUUAUGAAUCUCGUCGUGAGAAGUGACCUGCCCAUCACCAUACCGAGAAUCCCGAUCCCAUCCGAUCUGAAGCCCAGCGACCCUCGCCCGCUUUUAUCCAGCAAAUUAAUGGCAUUUGAAUGACAAUGACAAUGCAAUAAGAAAUCCGUUGGCGGAAGUUUGGUUUUAAAUAUUUUGUAAAUUUUGUGGGCGUCCACCCGUGUGCUGGAACCCACCAGGAGUUUUAUUUAAUAAUCGAAUUAGGCGCUUGAAAAUGGCGCAGCUCAAGAAACAUACCUACAUACACACACUGUGCACUCAAGCAUGCCAAAGUUUGAGGAGCCCGUCUUGGACACUCCCCUCUCGGGCUUGGAUUUUAUGGCACAUCGGGCGAGGGGAGGAGGCAACCCCACAGCUCAUUCCAGUUGGCUGGUGAUGAGUUUUUAAUGGCUGGCGCUGACUGCGGCCAAUGUGAAUUAUGGUUUUCAUAUAUGCCGCACGAAACUGGUUAUGGUCGUCGGAUUUGAAACGCUGAAGUCGCCAAGCAAACUGGAGCUAAUCGUGUAGCGCGACCGUUCGAGCUUUUGCUUUGUUUAGCUGAAAGUUGCUCCUAAAUUUUUACGUAUAAGGAAUAUUGAAAUUCUAGGUUAGCAGUCCUCUGUCAAAAUUAUGUACCUUUUAAUGAAACAACAAGAAAUAUAAAUUUAA